rnacentral:lncRNA from 1 species
AAUUAAGACAAAGAACCAUCCUGGUAUGUAAAACGAGGUAGCCACAACAGAAUGUUCUUAUAGUACACACAUCUUACAUACAUAGCUCCAGCAGAAAUAACCAGUAUGGUAGAUUGGCGGUAUACGGAAACAGUAUGUCUCAAAUCAAACAUGAAUACUUCAAAAUCACAAUAUUGAAAAUUUUGAAUCAUGAAAGGACAAACUACGAAGUCUUAACAUGAUAAUAAUAUCUCAUUAUUACAACAUUUGACAUUAUCAUGUUUAUAUUCUCAGAGGAUCCAUUCCAAUAUUUGAUACACGGAAUGAAUUGAAUGUUGGUACAAGGACGAGAAACCAUGUGAAAGAGAGGUCUGGGGACAAAUAACUAAAAUUAAGUAAUAAAAACACCACAGGCAAUGUUUACCGCCUAAAUGCAUUGCCUUCACUCCAAAUCUUCCUUGAGAAUAAUGAGUCCGCCGUUGGAUACUCUUGGCUAUAGAUGCGCUCCCCCUUCUGCAGCACCAUAUAUACUUUUUUGAGCAGUAUCCAAGAAAUUCUUGCCUACAGAACUAGUGUUCUGGAUUGCUUCCUGUGCAUCAGUCUCCUCAGCCUUCUUUAUUCGUUUCCAUCUCUCCCCUUCAUGUAACUUAGCAGCGAGUUGCAUCUGCCUAAGUUUAGCAGCCCUCUCUUCNNNNNNNNNNNNNNNNNNNNNNNNNNNNNNUAGGAGUCACAUUUCUCCGCUUAUAGUGUGACUCACGUUCAAGUGAAUUAGCAGAAGAUCUAGUAGAACUUGGUUCUCGAAAGCUCCUAUUCCCCCUUUUAGAGACAUCCAAAUUGAACUGACCUUCUGGAGCAUAUCUUCCUGACUUCGACUUGUUAUCAUGUCUGUCAUCAGCGUCUUUAUAGUCUCUGACUUUGCUUUGACUCUGGUGGUGACUGGGUGAUCUUUCUCUGUAUUUCUUAUCUUCAUAGUGAUUCUUCCUUCUGUUAUCAACAUCUUCUUUAUAAUCUUUGACUUUGCUUUGACUUCUGAUAUGGUUUUUUGUGUUUUUGUAUUGGGGAAUUUGGUGAGAUAUAAUUUUAGGGAGAAGACUCUCCUCAAAUAUAGGGUUAUAUGAAGAAUACUAAAGUUCUUAUUAUAUUCAUUAUGCUUAUGGCUCUAUAUAUAUAUAGCUACAUAAAAACAAAUCAUAUAUUUUUAAAACAAAACUAAUCCUAUAAUAAAUUCUAAACAAAUCUUAAAUAUUCUAAAUAGAAAUAUAAAUCAUAAAACCUAAUAUUAUCAUNNNNNNNNNNNNNNNNNNNNNNNNNNNNNNNNAUUUUAAAUAUAAAUCUAAAUAAUAUUUAAAUCUAAGAUCUUCAGAAGAUAUUUAGGCAUAUUAUUCUCAACACUCCUCCUUGACUGAAUAUCUUUUGUACGUAUCCAAUCUGAGUUUCUUGAAAAAUUAUUCUUCUUGUUUUGAUUCUUCUUCUUAUCGCAAGCUUUAGCAUCUUUGUGCCUUGUGGACUUCAUGGUAGAAACAUUGCAUUUGUUAUGACUUUUAGGUGAUUUUUCACAAGCAUAUUUAUUCUCCUCCUUAACUUGAAAUUUCUUCAAAAUACCUGAAUCUUCGCGAUUUUCUUUGAAUUUAAGUUCUUUUUUCUCUUCAAUAAUAUGAUCAUUCUUCAUUAAAUCUAAAACAAAUCUUUUGCCUUUAAUUUGAGAUGUGAUCACUUCCUUAUUG